AUUGAACGCUGGCGGUAGGCCUAACACAUGCAAGUCGAACGCGAAAGUCCUUCGGGAUGAGUAGAGUGGCGGACGGGUGAGUAACGCGUAGGAAUCUAUCCUGUAGUGGGGGAUAACGUUUCGAAAGGAACGCUAAUACCGCAUACGCCCCAAGGGGGAAAGCGGGGGAUCUUCGGACCCCGUGCUAUAGGAGGAGCCUGCGUCGGAUUAGCUAGUUGGUGAGGUAAAGGCUCACCAAGGCGACGAUCCGUAGCUGGUCUGAGAGGAUGAUCAGCCACACCGGAACUGAGACACGGUCCGGACUCCUACGGGAGGCAGCAGUGGGGAAUAUUGCGCAAUGGGCGAAAGCCUGACGCAGCCAUACCGCGUGUGUGAAGAAGGCCUUCGGGUUGUAAAGCACUUUCAGUGGGGAGGAAAAGCUGGUGGCUAAUAUCCAUCGGCCGUGGCGCUACCCACAGAAGAAGCACCGGCUAAUUCCGUGCCAGCCGCCGCAGUAAGAC
rnacentral:rRNA from 1 species